CCAUCCAGCAGACCGGCCAGCCGGUCCUCGGUGAUGAUCACGUCGCAGUCGGUGUGCCGGAUGUCGCGGGCCAGUUCGGCGCCCCGCCUGGUCGGA
rnacentral:tRNA from 1 species